rnacentral:rRNA from 1 species
GUCGAACGAUGAAGCCUAGCUUGCUAGGUGGAUUAGUGGCGAACGGGUGAGUAAUACGUGAGUAACCUACCUUUAACUCUGGGAUAAGCCCGGGAAACUGGGUCUAAUACCGGAUACGACCAAUCUCCGCAUGGGGUGUUGGUGGAAAGCGUUAUGUAGUGGUUAUAGAUGGGCUCACGGCCUAUCAGCUUGUUGGUGAGGUAACGGCUCACCAAGGCGACGACGGGUAGCCGGCCUGAGAGGGUGACCGGCCACACUGGGACUGAGACACGGCCCAGACUCCUACGGGAGGCAGCAGUGGGGAAUAUUGCACAAUGGGCGCAAGCCUGAUGCAGCGACGCCGCGUGAGGGAUGACGGCCUUCGGGUUGUAAACCUCUGUUAGCAGGGAAGAAGAGAGAUUGACGGUACCUGCAGAGAAAGCGCCGGCUAACUACGUGCCAGCAGCCGCGGUAAUACGUAGGGCGCGAGCGUUGUCCGGAAUUAUUGGGCGUAAAGAGCUUGUAGGCGGUUUGUCGCGUCUGCUGUGAAAGGCCGGGGCUUAACCCCGUGUAUUGCAGUGGGUACGGGCAGACUAGAGUGCAGUAGGGGAGACUGGAAUUCCUGGUGUAGCGGUGGAAUGCGCAGAUAUCAGGAGGAACACCGAUGGCGAAGGCAGGUCUCUGGGCUGUAACUGACGCUGAGAAGCGAAAGCAUGGGGAGCGAACAGGAUUAGAUACCCUGGUAGUCCAUGCCGUAAUGCCGUAA